rnacentral:rRNA from 1 species
GACGAACGCUGGCGGCGUGCUUAACACAUGCAAGUCGAGCGGUAAGGCCCUUUCGGGGGUACACGAGCGGCGAACGGGUGAGUAACACGUGGGUGACCUGCCCUCAGCUCUGGGAUAAGCCUGGGAAACCGGGUCUAAUACCGGGAUAUGACUCCAUGACGCAUGUUGUGGGGUGGAAAGCCUUGUGCGGCUGAGGAUGGGCCCGCGGCCUAUCAGCUUGUUGGUGGGGUGAUGGCCUACCAAGGCGACGACGGGUAGCCGGCCUGAGAGGGCGACCGGCCACACUGGGACUGAGACACGGCCCAGACUCCUACGGGAGGCAGCGAGUGGGGAAUCUUGCGCAAUGGGCGAAAGCCUGACGCAGCGACGCCGCGUGAGGGAUGACGGCCUGGU